rnacentral:rRNA from 1 species
AGCGAACGCUGGCGGCAGGCCUAACACAUGCAAGUCGAACGAACUCUUCGGAGUUAGUGGCGGACGGGUGAGUAACACGUGGGAACGUGCCUUUUGGUUCGGAAUAACUCAGGGAAACUUGUGCUAAUACCGAAUGUGCCCUUCGGGGGAAAGAUUUAUCGCCAUUAGAGCGGCCCGCGUCUGAUUAGCUAGUUGGUGAGGUAACGGCUCACCAAGGCGACGAUCGGUAGCUGGUCUGAGAGGAUGACCAGCCACACUGGGACUGAGACACGGCCCAGACUCCUACGGGAGGCAGCAGUGGGGAAUCUUGCGCAAUGGGCGAAAGCCUGACGCAGCCAUGCCGCGUGAAUGAUGAAGGUCUUAGGAUUGUAAAAUUCUUUAACCGGGGACGAUAAUGACGGUACCCGGAGAAGAAGCCCCGGCUAACUUCGUG